UGGGGAAUAUUGGGCAAUGGGGGAAACCCUGACCCAGCAACGCCGCGUGAAGGAAGAAGGCCUUCGGGUUGUAAACUUCUUUUACCAGGGACGAAGAAAGUGACGGUACCUGGAGAAAAAGCUCCGGCUAACUACGUGCCAGCAGCCGCGGUAAUACGUAGGGAGCGAGCGUUGUCCGGAUUUACUGGGUGUAAAGGGCGUGUAGGCGGAGCUGCAAGUCAGAAGUGAAAUCCCCGGGCUCAACCCGGGAACUGCUUUUGAAACUGUAGCCCUUGAGUAUCGGAGAGGCAGGCGGAAUUCCUAGUGUAGCGGUGAAAUGCGUAGAUAUUAGGAGGAACACCAGUGGCGAAGGCGGCCUGCUGGACGACAACUGACGCUGAGGCGCGAAAGCGUGGGGAGCAAACA
rnacentral:rRNA from 1 species